rnacentral:rRNA from 1 species
AGGAUCAUUGUCGAAAUCUGCAAAGCAGAAUGACCUGCGAACAAGUGAUAAAUCACGGUUGAAGAGGAGGGCACCACGGUCGCCUUCUCCUUUCAACUGACCAUUGGAGGCGGCUGGGCAUUGUGCCCUCCCCGUACCUCUCAUGGUCCCCAAUCAACAUACCUCAGCGCGGAUUGCGCCAAGGAAAACAAACUGAAGGUACGCUGCCCCUUGCACCGUAAAUGGCUGCGCGUGUGGCUUGCGUAUUUCCGAUCAAUCUAAUGUUACAACGACUCUCGGCAACGGAUAUCUUGGCUCUCGCAUCGAUGAAGAACGUAGCAAAAUGCGAUAGCUGGUGUGAAUUGCAGAAUCCCGUGAACCAUCGAGUCUUUGAACGCAAGUUGCGCCUGAAGCCGUCAGGCCGAGGGCACGCCUGCCUGGGUGUCACCCUCUCCCUUGCCCAAACACACGCCUCCUCCCACCGAAAAAUGGGAUGAGUGAUUUGGGCGGAUAAAUGGCCUCCCGUGGAGAAUGUUUUCGUGGUUGGCCCAAAAUUAGCACUUGGCUCUUAGGAAGCCACGACAAGCAUUGGCGAAAUACUUCGGUGAUCGUUGUUGUCGUGCUAGACUUUGUAGCGUGCUGUAGAAUACCUCGGUGCUUGCAUCCUAAGAUUGCGACCCCAG